rnacentral:tRNA from 1 species
GCCAACAUAGCUCAUCUGGUAGAGCAUCGCAUUCGUAAUGCGGAGGUGGAAGGUUCGAGUCCCUCUGUUGGCU